rnacentral:tRNA from 1 species
GCGGGCGUAGUUCAAUGGUAGAACUUCAGCCUUCCAAGCUGACCGUGAGGGUUCGAUUCCCUUCGCCCGCU